rnacentral:rRNA from 1 species
UUAGGAAAUUUUGACAAUGGGCGCAAGCCUGAUCGAGUAACGCCGCGUGGAGGAUGACGGCCUUCGGGUUGUAAACUCCUUUUCUGUGGGAAGAGCAAAAGACGGUACCACAGGAAGAAGUCUCGGCUAACUACGUGCCAGCAGCCGCGGUAAUACGUAGGAGACGAGCGUUGUCCGGAAUUACUGGGCGUAAAGAGCGCGUAGGCGGCACUGUACGACAGGUGUGAAAGCCCCCGGGCUCAACUGGGGAGGGUCAUCUGUAACGGCAGAGCUAAGAGUGCAGGAGAGGGAAGUAGAACUCCGGGAGUAGCGGUGAAAUGCGUAGAGACCCGGAGGAAUACCAGUGGCGAAGGCGGCUUCCUGGUCUGCGACUGACGCUGUGGCGCGAAAGCUAGGGGAGCAAACGGGAUUAGAUACCCCGGUAGUCCUAGCCGUAAACGAUGGACACUAGGUGUACGUGGUAUCGACCCCACGUGUGCCGGAGCUAACGCAGUAAGUGUCCCGCCUGGGGAGUACGGCCGCAAGGC